UGUGUGCAUGUGUGGGGUCCUGCGUGGAUGUGUCGCCUGUCCACCUGUCUCCAUGGAGGAGAUCUGACACUUCUUGCAGCUUCUCAUGUGCUUGAAGACCAACAGCUGCCUUCCUGGCCCUUCACUCCCCAUGGAAACGGCAAGUAAAAAGACUGCAGCUGCUGCUCUUAAGACGAUGAGUGAAAAAAUACAAGAGACAAUUCAAGUUGCCUGACGAUGACGCCAGACACCCUGGACUCUGCCAUUGGACAGCUCACCACCACGUGACCAAAGCAGCCUCUGGGUUGGACCAGAAAUACGCGUUUGGAGUUGCUGGAUCUUCUGCAGGCUCACUACCGUGCGGAUUUGGACCUCAGGAUCAGAAAGGGCAACGUACUUCCUGCCACUCAGGAGCAAUAAUCCAAUGGACGAUUAUGGACUGGCAUUUUGGAGCAAUGUGAAGCAGAGAACGGCCUACAAAAAACACACACAGCUACGACAUUGAUUUGGUUGCAGAAGCCCAGGAUGAGGCACUAGAAGAAGCAUGGGAGCAAGAAUGCUACCCAGUGUUCUUCAUGGAACUCUCCACCAACCUCUCACUCCUGCUGUCUCGUCUCCCAAUAUGAUGGAUUAUUUCCCUCGGUCUCAUUGUGAGGCCUUCAUUGAUCCACAUAUCUAAUCAGACUUGGCCAAUUUUAUUCCUGUUCAAGCCCAGACCAUCAUCACCACAUUCCAACAUGGUCCAAGGUCCCGUUAGUGGCCGUCUUAUGUAAAGGAUACAUUUACUUUUACUCAGUUGGAAUCUCACAGCACACCACCGUGGUAUUUUAGUUCAAAAACUGUCCAUGAACAUUACAGCGAAUCUGCAGCUCCUCUUCUUGAGCACAGCGUGCAAAAAAACCCACAACAGCAUAUUUGUGUGGGUAUUUCGAGUAAUGUUGCAUGCUUAAAUCAUUGGGAUAGUUGUUCUAUUUAGUGUCACUUUAUGCUUCUUUUCUGUAUUAUGCACUGUAAUUAGUAACACUAUUGAAUGUGGAUUGAGCAGGAUAAUGCUCACAUUGAAUGUUGUAAAUUAUUUUGUCAAAUGCAACAAUCCUUUGAUACUGGUCUUGGUUGUUAAUUUCUGUACAUGCCUAAUGAAUGCAAUCCCUGAUAAUGACUUUUACUUCCAUCACUAUUCCACUGUGAAAUAUUGGCAGGUUUCAUCCUGAAAAGGUAACAACUUUACGAUUAGCAAUGCUUCGACAAACCUCUUCACAAUUGUGCAUUCAGGUUGCACAGUCCAGCAACAGAAAGCGUCUCCCUUGCUGCCCCCCACCCCCCAAGUUCCCCGCCAUUAAUCAUGGAGCCUUUCUAACACUCCGACCACGAGUUCUAAACCCACUGGGCACCAUGACAGGAAUCCUCGCCUCCUACUUCCCGAGCCUCGCCAAUACAAAAGCCAAAUUGAGGUGCUGCAAGUCAGGGCUGGCCUCCCUCUCUUGAGGAGUGGGGGGGCAUGUUAGCUUUCCGAAGCCACAACAAUCCAGAGUGUCAGGCGCUAAUGACAGCAUAUUUUGCAAAAGAAACAAUGAGGAUUUUAUUACUGGCACCCGUUGGGCUUUUUCGGUAUGCGAUUAAAAAACAACAGAAACA